rnacentral:rRNA from 1 species
GAUGAACGCUGGCGGCGUGCCUAAUACAUGCAAGUCGAGCGAACGGACGAGAAGCUUGCUUCUCUGAUGUUAGCGGCGGACGGGUGAGUAACACGUGGAUAACCUACCUAUAAGACUGGGAUAACUUCGGGAAACCGGAGCUAAUACCGGAUAAUAUUUUGAACCGCAUGGUUCAAAAGUGAAAGACGGUCUUGCUGUCACUUAUAGAUGGAUCCGCGCUGCAUUAGCUAGUUGGUAGGGUAACGGCUUACCAAGGCAACGAUGCAUAGCCGACCUGAGAGGGGGAUCGGCCACACUGGAACUGAGACACGGUCCAGACUCCUACGGGAGGCAGCAGUAGGGAAUCUUCCGCAAUGGGCGAAAGCCUGACGGAGCAACGCCGCGUGAGUGAUGAAGGUCUUCGGAUCGUAAAACUCUGUUAUUAGGGAAGAACAUAUGUGUAAGUAACUGUGCACAUCUUGACGGUACCUAAUCAGAAAGCCACGGCUAACUACGUG